UACUAAGUGGGAGGGCACUCUUUAGGUCU
rnacentral:piRNA from 1 species